rnacentral:rRNA from 1 species
UACGAAGGGGGCUAGCGUUGUUCGGAAUUACUGGGCGUAAAGCGCACGUAGGCGGGCGAUUAAGUCAGGGGUGAAAUCCCGGAGCUCAACUCCGGAACUGCCUUUGAUACUGGUCGUCUAGAGAUCGGAAGAGGUGAGUGGAAUUCCCAGUGUAGAGGUGAAAUUCGUAGAUAUUGGGAAGAACACCAGUGGCGAAGGCGGCUCACUGGUCCGAUACUGACGCUGAGAAGCGAAAGCAUGGGGAGCGAACAGG